GGCCGUUUGGCUCAAUGGUAGAGCGUCCGCCUCCUACUCGUCUGACGAGCUUGUAAGCGGAAGGUUGUGGGUUCGAGUCCCAUGAUGGUCG